GACGAACGCUGGCGGCGUGCCUAAUACAUGCAAGUCGAACGGAGAGGCGCCCGGGUGAGUAAUGUAUGGCUAAUCUGACCUACACUAGAGGGCAACAGAUGGAAACGGCUGCUAAUACUAUAUAGUGUAGGAUGCGGCUAUAUUGUAUCAGCUAGUUGGUGAGGUAAUGGCUCACCAAGGCUAUGACGCAUAACUGGUCUGAGAGGAUGAUCAGUCACGCUGGUGCGGAGACACAGACCAGCCUCCUACGGGAAGCAGCAGUAGGGAAUAUUGCUCACUGGGAGAAUCCCUGAAGUCGCAACGCCGCGUAGAGGAUUAAACUUUUCGGAGCGUAAAAUCCUCUUGUUAGGUAAGCGGUACCCAACGAAUAAGCACCGGCUAACUCCGUGCCAGCAGCCGCGGUAAUUC
rnacentral:rRNA from 1 species